UCGGUCAUGGAUUUGAUCCCUGUCGUACCAUGUGAAUCAUAGACCAAUGCAGCCAAGAAUCCAUAGAUCAAUGAUCCUAUUGGUAUGUUUGUGAUCAAGAUAUUGUGGUUAACUCCAACACUGUUUGGUCCAAAAAGCUCUGAGGUGAUGGAAACAGCUGCGGCGAAUAUGAAUCCUGAGCUUAGACCCAUCAGAGCAGUUCCAACUUGUAGUGCUGACGCGGUUCCUGAUGAUGCAAGCAAGAAAAGCGCGAUUGGUGUUGGUAAUAGCGCGAUUGCUAACCACCCGGUUCUUGCAAAAUAAACCUUUCUGCACAACUUAAACCAAGUCAAAACCCGCAGAACCAAACCAUAAACUCCAUAAAAUUAAUAUUUGAUAAAUUAGUAAAUACGGUAAAUUAAUAAAUUUCGCUUACGCUCGGAUAUAGUCUGGUGUCGCAGAGAGUAGUCUUCCAAAGAACGAGAAAGAUGAGUAAAGUGUGACAAGAGUUGUGGUGUUUGAGCUUUGUCCUAAAGACUGAGCAAUCUGACCGAGGUUGUUGCUGUACACAAGUCCAAUGGUUUACCGAAAAGAGUCACGUCGGAGCUCCGCCGCCCGCGGAAAAGGAUCAGUGAAAAACCAACAUAGUGGUCUUCACGGAAGGCCAAGACGCAACCGGUCCACCGCUUCGGAAGAAAACCACCGUCUGCAAUCGAUCCAAAAGAACUUUGAUCUUCCUUCAUGAACGAGCAGUCAUCUUUGUUGAUAGGAAUAAGCAUGAAGAUGAGACGACCUAAUUACAUGGAGUGAAAGGCUUCGGAGGAUUAGAUCGAGAGUCGAUGGGACAAAGAAGGGGCAAAAACGACGAUCAAGCGGAACCGAGAAAAAACCCGGUGAAGAGCCGGCGAAGAGAUAUAACGGGAACACCUCUUUCCGGAGACAAAAGCCGGCGAAGAUAACGCUAAGAGAAUCGCUACUUCCCGGAGGCAAAGCCCGAUCAAUCGGGAACCAUAACCGGAAGAUCCGGAGAUGGAAAACAAAAACAGUCGGCGAGAUCUCUUAUUCUGAAAGAUUUAAGGGAGAUAAGAAGAAGAGAAAUAGAGAGAACAACUCUCUCUCUCCGAAAAGAGAGAAGCCGACUCUUUAUUUCAUAACUAAAGUUUUCAUAUUCUAUUUUGCUUUCCAAAUAAUUUAUUUUCUAAGCAUAUUUUUUUUAAAAAAGAAACAAAUUGAUCAAUAAUUAAAAGUCUUUGCCAAUUAAAGAAACACCACAACAUAUGAGGACCUAAUAACAAUUUAUUCAAAUCAUGAGCCAUGUGAUACGCGCGUUUUUCGGCAUGUGGAAUUAAGUAACCACCGUCGACUAAAAACCUCGAGAUUAAUAAAAACUCAAAAUCCAUUCUCUCUGCUCUUGAUUCACGUCAAAGUUCUUGUGUUCUUGUGCUUGAGCUGAGCCAGAUUCGUUCCAUAUUUUCGUUAUUCGUUUUUAUUCUUUUAUUCAGCUCGAGUUUGCAGUUUAGAGCUAAGUCUGAGUUGUAUUUUUUCUUGUAAGACGAGCUAAAGUCUAAAAAGACAGAAGAAGAAAAAGUCAAAAUAAUGCCUUCAAAAACCAAACACAAGAAACCUAGACUUUGCACUUUUCUCUUCUUCACCGUCCCCUUUAGCAUCCUAUCUCUCUUCCUCCUCCACACAUCCUCUUGCUCCUCUUCCACCGCCGCAUUCUCCUCCUCUUACACAUAUCAGCCACCGUGGUCUGGCGACCUCCAAACCGCCCAGUUUCCCUGGAACCGCCUUGCUUUCUCCUUAACCAGCCCUCCUCCCAAAACUCUAAAACUCGCUGUUUUUUCCCGUAAAUGGCCCAAUGGACCUAACCCGGGCGGUAUGGAACGCCACGCCCUCACUCUCUACACUGCUCUAGCCCGCCGUGGACACCGCGUCCACGUUUUCACCUCUCCCUUAGACCCUUCCCUUGAAACCAACAAAAUCAUAAACCCUACAAUACAUUCCCACGGAGGUUCAGAGCCCGGCAAAUGGCAAUACAGAAAAGCAUGGGAUCUUUACCAAGAAGAGAACCAGAAACAACCUUUUGACGUGGUCCACUCCGAGAGCGUGUCUUUACCGUACUGGAAGGCCCGGGAGGUUCCAAACCUAGCCGUAACAUGGCACGGCAUUGCGCUAGAGAGCUUACACUCGAGCCUUUACCAAGAUCUUAUCCGCAAACCAGGAGAACCAAGAUUACAAAGCUUCAACGCAAGCCUACACAGUGCCGUGCUUCCCAAGAUACUCGACGAAAUCAGAUUCUUCCACAACUACGCUCAUCAUAUAGCAAUCAGCGAUAGCUGCGGGGAAAUGCUAAGAGACGUUUACCAGAUUCCGGAGAAAAGGGUCCACGUGAUCCUCAACGGAGUCGAUGAAAAGGGAUUCAGUUCAGACAAGAAGCUACGUUCUCUGUUUAGGUCGAAACUUGGGCUACAAGAAAAGUCAUCGGCGAUUGUUUUAGGAGUCGCAGGGAGAUUGGUGAAAGAUAAAGGACAUCCGUUACUCUUCGAAGCUUUCUCAAAACUAAUCGAAACGCAUUCUAAUGUUCACCUCGUGGUGGCUGGAUCAGGUCCGUGGGAGCAACGUUACAAGAAACUUGGCGAUAAAGUUACCGUUUUGGGAUCCCUAAACCCAAAUGAGCUCAAGGGAUUUUACAAUGGAAUCGAUAUAUUCGUGAAUCCCACGCUAAGACCACAAGGGCUUGAUUUAACUCUGAUGGAAGCGAUGUUGAGUGGUAAACCAGUGAUGGCGUCGAGGUAUCCGAGCAUAAAGAGGAGUGUUGUGGUGAAUGACGAGUUUGGGUUUAUGUUUGCACCUAAUGUGGAGGCUCUGACGGCGGUUAUGGAAGCUGCGGUGGCCGAAGGAGCGGAGAGGUUGGCUGAGAGAGGGUGGAAGUGUAGAGAGUAUGCGGCGGAGAUGUUCACAGCGAGUAAGAUGGCUUUGGCUUAUGAGAGGCUGUUUCUUUGUAUUAAAGAUCAGAGGUUUUGUAUAUAUCCCUAAAGUUGUAAGUACUGAAAUGGAAAGUGAACCUUUGUUUAUAUAAAAUGUUUAACAGUCCAUUAUAACUUCUGUUAUAAUGUAGAUCCUACAUAUAUAAUGAUAUACACACAAGCCAUUGGGGGAUUGAGACAAGUUUCUAUGAAUCAAUGUUUGAACUUAUCCGAGCUUGUUCAAACCGUUGAUAAGCUUUUCUAGUUCUUAUAAACAGGACAAGACUCGAACCUAGUCCAAGUACCGACAAGCAUCCCCACCAGACAAACGUCAUGUGAUAGCAACCUCGUCCCAUACACACAACAGAGUCGGUCAUGGAUUUGAUCCCUGUCGUACCAUGUGAAUCAUAGACCAAUGCAGCCAAGAAUCCAUAGAUCAAUGAUCCUAUUGGUAUGUUUGUGAUCAAGAUAUUGUGGUUAACUCCAACACUGUUUGGUCCAAAAAGCUCUGAGGUGAUGGAAACAGCUGCGGCGAAUAUGAAUCCUGAGCUUAGACCCAUCAGAGCAGUUCCAACUUGUAGUGCUGACGCGGUUCCUGAUGAUGCAAGCAAGAAAAGCGCGAUUGGUGUUGGUAAUAGCGCGAUUGCU
rnacentral:lncRNA from 1 species